GGAGUUAUUUAAAUAGAACCCUUCGGAGUGACGUUUAUAUAACUUAAUGGCGGACGGGUGAAUAACGCGUGAGUAACCUGCCUUUCUAAGGGGGAUAACGUCCUGAAAAGGACGCUAAUACCGCAUGAUAUAUUUGUGCCGCAUGGUUUGGAUAUCAAAGGAUCAAUCGGCUGGAAAAUGGACUCGCGUCCAAUUACCUAGUUGGAGGGGUAACGGCCCGCCAAGGCGUCGAUCGGUAGCCGGACUGAGAGGUUGAACGGCCACAUUGGGACUGAGACGCGGCCCAGACUCGUGCGGGAGGCAGCAGUGGGGGAUAUUGUGCAAUGGGGGACAACCCAGACGCAGCAACGCCGCGUGAAGGAAGAAGGUUUUCGGAUUGUAAACUUCUUUUCUAAGGGACGAAGAAGUGACGGUACCUUAGGAAUAAGCUCCGGCUAACUACGUGCCAGCAGCCGCGGUAAUACGUAGGGAGCAAGCGUUGUCCGGAUUUACUGGGUGUAAAGGGUGCGUAGGCGGCAAUGCAAGUCAGAUGUGAAAUGCACGGGCUCAACCCGUGAGCUGCAUUUGAAACUGUGUUGCUUGAGUGAGGUAGAGGCAGGCGGAAUUCCCGGUGUAGCGGUGAAAUGCGUAGAGAUCGGGAGGAACACCAGUGGCGAAGGCGGCCUGCUGGGCCUUAACUGACGCUGAUGCACGAAAGCGUGGGUAGCAAACAGGAUUAGAUACCCUGGUAGUCCACGCUGUAAACGAUGAUUACUAGGUGUGGGGGGUCUGACCCCUUCCGUGCCGCAGUUAACACAAUAAGUAAUCCACCUGGGGAGUA
rnacentral:rRNA from 1 species